rnacentral:lncRNA from 1 species
UGCUGAUGUGAAAAUACAAUUAUAGUGUAACUGGUCAUGUUAUAACUGGCGACCUUGGUAAGAGAUUGCAGAUGCUUAUUUCUCUUUGCAUGACUAAUAUCAUUGUUAAAGAAGAUAAAGCGUCCGAUAAUAUUGUUUUCAAAUGUACAUAGAGCUUGGAAUAAAAAGCUAAAUUGGUAAUUCUACAGAUUCUUUUACAGAAU